rnacentral:lncRNA from 10 species
AUUCACUAGAUGUUCUAUGAGAAGCAGGAUGAGGUCGCAAAAGUUGGAAAAAAAGGGAGAAAACAACCUCAUGAUGGUGCCUGGGCACAUCAGUACUCUUGCAGCUUGAAAUUGAGAUGACCCAUUGAUUCUCCAUGUGGUUGAGCACAUGAUACCAUCAGAAAGAUCCACCCAGGGAAUGCACAAAAGCAAGAAACACAAAGCAGACAGAGGAAUUAGUAAUGAAAAUCAAGCCCCUCAGCCAUCCCGUCCAACAACAGUCCUUCUCAGAGGUUGUCGCUUUGAACUACUUCAGUUUUCAAUUAUGUCAGUGGCCAAUAAUUUCAGAGAUCUUUUAAAGCCAUCAGAACUAUUGCUGCCUAAGACAUGCAUGGCAAAUAAAAGGGUCUCACUGGAUUUCAAAUAA